ACGCUCGACACCUACGAGAGGCAGCAGUGGGGAAUAUUGCACAAUGGGGGAAACCCUGAUGCAGCGACGCCGCGUGAGUGAAGAAGUAUUUCGGUAUGUAAAGCUCUAUCAGCAGGGAAGAAAAUGACGGUACCUGACUAAGAAGCCCCGGCUAACUACGUGGCAGCAGCCGCGGUAAUCUGAGCGGGCUGGCAAGGC
rnacentral:rRNA from 1 species